GUUGCUGUUUGUGUUUCCCUUCAUCCGCAGAUACCUUGAGAGAUCAAAUUACAAAAUUGUGAUGUUCACGAUGUGGUGGUCACAGGUAUAUACAAUAUCAGUUUUCGCAGAUACAUGUCAAAUGACAAAGAAACAUUUGAGAAAGCUAAUGCUAUUUUUACUUAAAUGUCAUGCAGCCUCGGCUCUAUGUUGGAAGAGGAAUGCAUGAAAGUGCAUUUUCUUUAUUUAAGUAAGGAAUCAGAAGCAUUAGGUUGUAUAAAAUCAUAUAACUCAUUACCUAAUUACUUUAAUUUAAAUUCACAGGUAUACAUUGUUUUGGGUGCUUCUCAUCAUAACCAAGUUGGCUUUCAGUUAUUAUAUAGAGGUGCUUACUGUACUCGUUUAUUGAUUUCUAUUUUAUUCUCUUAUGCUAAUCUAUUUAUCACAUUAGGAUCUAUUACUUUUGAGAGAAAGAAUCCUUAGUGCGGCGUUGCAUUUACAAUGAUACCCAGAUUAUGUUGCAUUAAUGUUAUGUUUUAAGAACGCUUCAAUUACCAAAGAUGAGACAUCCUGUGUCGUGAGGUCAAGUAAAAACAUACUAAGUUCAUUAAACUGCUUAUUUUGCGGACAAUCUGAUCUGGUUUGUUAAUUUAAGCCCGACCAAACCACUUUUUAUCCACUCAUUUUGUAUGAUCUACAAGUACUACUCAUCACUCAUUUCUAUUUAUAUAUAAUUUAAAUCGAUUAUAAAUGACUCCAAAACAACUUCUAAACGUAUAGUGACAUAGAACAGUUGAUGUUUAACGGACCAAAGAUUUGAAUUGCAGAUAAAGCCUUUGGUGGGUCCAACAAAAGAAAUCAUGAGUGUUCAUAUAUCAACAUACCAAUGGCACGAGUUUUUCCCCCGAGGUAAUAAUCGACUGUUCAAGUCUGUACUACUCAAAUGUUACACACACACGCACACGAAAAUUAUUGUAUUGAUAUUGGUUAUCAUCUAUUGGUUUCCACUUCAUCAUGUGAUUACAGCUAAAAGCAAUAUUGGUGUCGUGAUUGCACUCUGGGCGCCACUUAUUCUUGUAUGGAUUAUGCAUUACUUAUAAUGAAAUUUCUUUUCUGUAUUUUCCUGUCAGAUAGAAGCUUUUAUUGAUGAACUUUGUUGGUUAGGUAUAUUGCCUCAUGUUGCUUAAAUCUGCUGUCCCUUUACAGGUCUAUUUCAUGGAUACCCAGAUAUGGUAUGCUAUAUUCUCAACUUUAUUUGGAGGUAUAUAUGGUGCGUUUCGUCGUCUGGGAGAGGUCAGUGGUUCCUUUUUUAUUUUUAAUCUCGGUGAUUUCAACGAUAUACUGUUUCCGCUAGUGAUAUUAUUCAGCAUGAUUGUGAAAUCUUUUGCUUUUGUUUGAGCUGCACAAGUUUGCUGACACUCAAUAAAUAUCAUCUUUGAAAACAUUCUAUUUCCUUCAUUCACUUUCUUUAUUUCUGUCACUAGCUUCUAACUGGCAUCAAUUUCAGCUUUCAGAUUCCUUUGUUGCUUUGUUUCAAUUUCACAAUAACCUUUGACACUAAUGCUUUGCAAAUCAGACCUCAUAACUUAUCGGCUCUUACCACUUUUGCAGUAGUUGGAUAGGAUGCUGGUAUUUGAAGUGUUAAUUGGCUUUGAGGACUAGUCGAAUGAGAUGAAAUUAAAAAUUUAAAUUAGGAAACAUGCCUGGAGCAACAUUAUUUUUGUAUGUACUAGCUUCAAAGAGGAUGAGCUGUGGACAUUAAUGAGAAACCCCUCUCAGUCACCAAGAAGAAGGUUUUAUUGUUUAUUAGCAUAGCAAGAUUAUUCUUGAAAUGUUCUUAGAACUCUUGAACUUCCAUGAGCUUAAGCAUCUUGGAUCAGUUUUUCAGUUUUAUCUUGCAAACUAAUGUGUCCAGCAGUCGUUGGAUAACAAGUUUUUCUUGUGACUGUAGAUACAUACAGGAAAGAGUUAUCAGAUACCUUCUUUUAUUUUAUGACCGAAGAGUAUUGAUUUAUAUCUGUGGCUUUAACUUUGUGUUAACUUUCAGAUUCGAACUUUAGGAAUGCUUAGAUCCCGAUUUGAAUCAAUUCCUGGUGCUUUUAAUGCCUGUUUAAUCCCUGAUGAGAAAAGUGAUUCAACAAAAAAGAAAGGACUGAAGGCCACCUUUUCACGCAAGUUUGAAGUGGUAGUUUAUUUAUUAAACUUUCUAUUUUAUUAUUUGGACAUAUGUUACUAUGAGAAUAUAUAAAAAUAGGAUGAAAUGCAUGUUAAUAAUGAAACUUAAGUUUUUUCUUGUGAAUAUUAUUGGUGAAGAUCCCAUCCAGUAAGGAGAAAGAAGCUGCAAGAUUUGCUCAGUUGUGGAACAAAAUAAUUACAAGUUUCCGAGAGGAAGAUCUUAUUAGCGAUAGGUAAUUGUCAAUUUGAAUAUUUUGAAAUCAGUUAUGUGGAUUCUUUUUUCUCUUUCACUUAUUUCUCUUACAUUGAUGUUUAGGGAAAUGGAUCUGUUGCUUGUUCCGUAUUGGGCUGAUCGUGACUUGGAGCUAAUUCAGUGGCCUCCAUUUUUGCUUGCUAGCAAGGUUUCUGUUUUACAUUUUAUGUCAAAAUUCUCCCGUGUUUCGGUGAUUUGAUUAAUUUCAUCUAUCUGUUGCCCAUGCUGCAAGUCCUCCUCCAUAUUGUUAUUAUGCUUUAUAUUUGGAAAAAUAUUUUGCAAAAAAACAUUAUUAUUUCCCUUCGUGGCCAAGACUGCUAGGGAAGAAAUGUCAAAAUUUUAUGAUGUGAAGGGGCAUUGUUAAGAACUAUAUAAAAGUUAAUAUAACUCAGUGAACUUGCUUGUUAUUUAACACAUAUCCAUUUCCUUCUCAUUGCAAAGCUAUAGAGCUAGCCAGCAAGCGUUCUCAAGACUACUUUGCUAAAAUGAAAAUCAAAUCAAUCUCCUCUGAAUAAUUUUUGUAAAGUAAACUGAAAAUUAUUUUAGAAAAGAGAGAUGGAAUUUUAUUGUGCCAUUUUUUUUUAACUACUGAAUGAUUGGAACUCACUUACUUCAAUUGGAACAUAGUCAACUUUUCAGUCAACGAGUGCAACGUAUACUGAAUGUGAUCUUCCAACACACAGAUCCCAAUUGCAGUGGAUAUGGCUAAAGAUAGUAAUGGUAAGGACAGUGAACUGAAAAAGCGGAUCAAGUCUGGUGAUUACAUGUAUUCUGCUGUAUGCGAGUGCUAUGCUUCAUUUAGGAACAUCAUUAAAUUUUUAGUUCGUGGCAACCGAGAGAUCCAGUAAGUUUUGGUUGCUUCUUGCUAAUGAGCACUUCCCUUGUUUGAUGGUGACACGUUCACGUAUCUCUUUCUUUAAUCAUACUGUGUGUGUCAGGGUUAUUGAAUACAUUUUCUCCGAGGUUGACAAGCAUAUAGAGGCAGAUGAUCUAUUGAAGGAAUACAAAUUGAGCGCUCUUCCUAAUCUUUAUGAAAAAUUUGUUAAGCUUAUAAACUACUUGGUAGGUCUUUUUUCUGCAGCAAAGAAAUUGCAGUUGAAAUUUCUCCUCCUUUUUCAACCAAAACAUAUUGCUGUUGUUGAGUUGUUGAUAUAGAGAUUCCAUGUUGAAUUGCCUGUUCUUGCAGAUGGAAAAUAAGCAGGAGGACAGGGAUCAAGUUGUCAUUCUCUUCCAGGACAUGCUGGAAGUUGUGACACAGGAUAUAAUGAUGGAGGAUCAUGUAUCUAAGUAAUAUGUUCUUCAUCACCCCUACUUUGAGUCAACUUUUGAGGUCUGAAUGGUUCUACUCAUUUCAACUUAAUUUUAUAUGAAUAGCUUGUUAGAUUCAAAUGAAGGGAUGAUCCCUCUGGAUCAACAAUAUCAGUUAUUUGCAUCCGCUGGAGCCAUCAUAUUUCCAACUCCUGAAUCGGAAGCUUGGAAAGAGAAGGUAAAUAAGGAAAUUCAAAGUGUUUCUUUGACUAAAUAUUUCAACCUUAUAUUAAUAAAAGUUUACAAUUGUUUCCUUCACAGAUAAAAAGGUUGUACUUUUUGCUGACGGUAAAGGAAUCUGCCAUGGAUGUGCCAUCCAACUUAGAAGCUAGAAGGCGCAUCUCAUUCUUCUCCAAUUCCUUGUUUAUGGACAUGCCUUCAGCUCCUAAAGUCCGCAAUAUGCUUUCAUUCUCGUAAGUUCUUUUGAGCUAUUUAGCCAAGACCUAGCAUUUCUGGUAUUUUGUAUAUGGAAAGAGUAGUUGUGUCAGAAGCAAACUUAAUAUUUUUUAAACAACUUAGUAGUAAAUUCAAGCAAGAUCAUUCGAAUGAGUUCAUUUCUUAUCAAUGAUCAAUAUAUUGGGAAGCUACUCGAUUCUGCUCAUAAUUAUGACAAUUGUGAGAAGUUUCGAAAAUGGAGAAGUGUUAAAAUUGUCGAAGACAUAAAUUAACUAUACAAGUUUGUCACCACUCUAUUAGCUUAAGCUCUUAGAUGAGCCGGUUUAACAAAAAUAUUCAACUUAAACCCUAUUGACAAUGAACUCCGAGGAAACCCACGGUGCAUACUGGUUUUGGAGGCACUGUAAUGUCUUAUAUGGGACAAGCUCCAGUUGCAAUAAAGUUCCUGGAAAGAUAGUAAAAGUAACAACUAAAGAAUUGAUGAUAUUGAAAUGAUAAUAAUUGUACAUAAAAACCUGGCUAAAAAGAAAGACGUUUUGAGCCUUGACCCACAGGGAGUAAUAUCAUAAUAGCCAUAGUUAUUUUACUUUAAAACUGAGCCAUAUUAUUGUAAUCUUCUCUGAUUUCUUCCCUUAUUAUUAUUAUUUUUAAUGGAUUUUGGAUCACAAGUUCUACAUUUUUUUCAUUUCAUUAAAUGACGUGGUAGUACAAUUUUACAAGACUAAUCGUAGUUUACUAAAACAUUGUAGCUGAUCUGCUCACGUGCUCCCAUUAAUGCAUUAUGGCCUGAAAGAAUUCCUUCUUUGCAGUGUUUUGACUCCAUACUACACAGAGGAGGUCCUCUUCUCAUUGCCUGAGCUGGAAGUGCCAAAUGAAGAUGGUGUCUCCAUCCUCUUUUACUUGCAGAAAAUUUUCCCAGGUUUGUUCUUCUGAUGUUGUCAUGUAUUACAUCAUAUUUCUGAAUUUCUGCCAGGCUUACUGAUGAAAAUACAGAUGAAUGGAACAAUUUUCUUGAGCGUGUCAAGUGUGACAAUGAAGAACAGCUUAGGGGGUCUGACGAUUUAGAAGAACAACUAUGCCUUUGGGCUUCAUAUAGGGGUCAGACAUUGACCAGAACUGGUAUGGAACAAUACUUUUUCUCCGUCUCAUAGGCCGUUACUUGUAAUGUGAUUCAAAAUAUAUGUUUCCUUCUUUUUUUUUUUUUUCCUAUUUUCUUUCUUUUUAUAUUCACUGCCAAUUUACCUCGAUAGACCUUCUUCCUAACCUUCUUUCAUAUAUAUAGGGGUUUACAAUUAUAUACAAGGAAACCCUAGCUGUACAAAGUAAAUUUAUCUAAACAAGGAAACUAAUUAUACAAAGAAACCUUUCAAUUUAUUGUAAAUCACACGCCUCUAAUAUUCACGGGAUUGUUGGAGGUUCUGUAAGGGGAUUGCAAUGCCUGAGAAUGAAGUAGGUGUGGCAAUUUGGAUUCACUUAUUUUCUUAUCAUGCCAGCCAGAGGAGCUCAACACAAAAUUGGUUGGCAAUUCUUGGCACAAACAUUAUCCGUUAUUAUAUGCGUAACAUGGCACAAUCAGAUAACCUUUGUUGCUCGAACUCAUCAUUUUAGAGGAAGUACCUGUGUUGGACACACAUGAUAAGGCUAGAUAAGGCUAUGGGAUCCUUCUGGGAUCCUUUAUAUCAUUUUUGUUAUUUUGGUAAUGUAUGUUUCACAUCUAGGCUUGAUAAAAUACAAAGGGAGACUUUUUAGCCUUGUCCCCAAAUUGUGAAUUUUAGGAAAAAAGGGAUUUGAUUCCUAGAUAUGUACCUAUACCAGAUACCCACGCCUAAGUCCAAGCAACAUAGCUGAUAACAUUAAUACAAACUUGUCCACAUCUAGUGGGUAACUUAGGAUACAAGGCGACAGUCUGCAAUUUUUGUGCUAUAAAAGGUUUCACCUAUUUUAACAUGGAACCAUAGAUGCCAAACCAAAUCUUUUGACAGCUUAUGCUGCCUCUGUUGAGUUAAUAAGUCAUUUUGGAAAGUGCCUCCUGCAUUGAAGUGUGUUUUAUUUUAAGGAGAUUGUUAAUUUCCCAAUGUUUAAAUUUUAUGGAGUGAUAUUAUCUGAUUUAUGACAGUAAGGGGCAUGAUGUAUUAUCGCAAAGCUCUUGAACUUCAAGCCUUCCUUGAUAUGGCCAAGGAUGAUGGUAACUCCCUCUUGCAUGCUGGCAUCUUUGAAGAAGUGCAGAUUUUUUGCAAUGCUAGCACUUCAGUGAUGUAGUAAAGAACUCUGUGAUAUUGACCGUUAUAGUUUGUCUUUCGAACAGAUUUAAUGGAAGGCUAUAAGGCCAUUGAGUUGAAUGAGGAUCAGAUGAAGGGAGAGAGGUCACUUUGGGCACAAUGUCAAGCAGUGGCUGAUAUGAAGUUCACAUAUGUAGUAUCGUGCCAGUUAUAUGGGAUUCAGAAAAGAUCUGGCGAUCCUCGUGCACAAGAUAUAUUACGACUUAUGACAACGUAAGUGCCUGAUAUUGAUCAUGUUGUUGUCUUAUUGUUGUUAUGACCUAUUUAUGGAUUUCCUUUAACAGGUAUCCAUCUCUUCGAGUAGCCUACAUUGAUGAAGUUGAAGAACCAAGCAAAGACAGGUCCAAAAAAGUUAAUGAUAAGGUGUACUAUUCCACUCUUGUGAAGGCUGCUUUGCCGAAGUCAAAAUCUUCAGAGUCGGGACAGAGUCUAGAUGAGGUAAAAGAGAAAUGAAAUAGAAGUCAAUUCUUGAAGGUGAAAUAGUAAGUUACUCAUAACAUAAGAAGUCAUAAUCUCUACACUAUAGUAAGGGCACAGCAGUACAGACAAUGAAUUGAAGAAAAGAUGGCGAAUCAUCAAGGAGAUAUGAAUACACUUCUUUUGCUUUGUUAUUUCCUCGUUGUAGCUCUUACACUAUUGGAUCUUUCUUAUAGACACUAGCACGCAAAGAAAUUUUAUAUAUUUCACACACACAUAUAUGUUGAUUUACCAUAAGUUAUGCUGCAGAUUUUUAACUGAUUUUAUGGAUUUCCUUUUGUAGGUUAUUUAUCAUAUAAAACUUCCUGGACCUGCCAUCUUGGGUGAGGGCAAGCCUGAAAACCAGAAUCAUGCCAUUAUCUUCACCCGUGGUGAAGGUUUGCAAACAAUAGAUAUGAAUCAGGUGUAGUGUUGUCAAAAUGUUUUCACUUUGAAUUCUCUCUUUCUGGGUGCUGACAUGAAAUAUCCAUCCGUAGGAUAACUACAUGGAAGAAGCUUUAAAAAUGAGAAACUUACUUGAAGAAUUUCUUAAAAAGCAUGAUGACGUGACAUACCCAUCAAUACUUGGACUGAGGGAACAUAUAUUUACUGGAAGGUAUGCACUUAGUGAUAUAUAGCAUAUCCUGGCUCAAAUUGUAUACACCACUUCACACCUUACUAUGUGAUGCAGUGUUUCAUCUCUUGCUUGGUUUAUGUCAAAUCAAGAGACAAGUUUUGUCACCAUUGGUCAGAGACUAUUGGCCAAUCCUCUGAAGUAAGACUUCUUUUUCCACCAACUCCCCUUCUCUCGAAUUUUCCGGUGCAUCAUGUGUAUCUCAAUGCAGAUGCUAGAAAUAUAUUUUCCAUUAUGCCUAUGUCUGUACUGCCACUUUCUGUUAGUUUUGGUUGAGAACUAUGACAUUAUGUGAUGCACAAAUUAUUAUAGUUAUAGCAUCAAGAAUUCUAAUUGGAUUUAAAACUAAACUAGGCUGUCUUGAUUUAAAUCUGAAUUGUGGAUGAGGACUUCUUUAUGCUUAUGGAGGACAGUUCCAAACCUUGUUUUUUGACAUUUCCUUAAUUUAUUAUAAAAUGGUGCUAUCUCCACUUGUUGACAUGUAUCCUUUGUUUGACUUUGUCUAUUCUACGAUAUAAAUUUUGUUCAAUGAUUUUCAAGAUGUCAUAUUUCUUCAAGCUUUCAUCUACUUGGACAUUCUCAUCGUACUGUAAUAUAAAUUUAUUUCUCAGAAAGAAUUAUAAUAUCCAAAAGUUUAUUUUUCUGCCAGUAUUGUGCCAAAAAUUGCUUUCAUGGUAAAAUUGUGUUUGAAUAUUUUGCGUUAUUUUCCUUGAUUUUUUUUUUUAUAGGCAAUCAAAUAUGUUAUUAUCAAAAUAUAAUACGCAGAAUGUGUAUUAUCAAUUUAAACAAGAAAGAAACAACACGAAAUUGGAUAUUCUGUUUUUAUGACUUGUAGCCGCAGCAUUAAAUCAAGUAUAAAUUGUCAAAUAAAAUAAUUCUCUACACUCCUCUGCUGUCUGAUCAUCAAAACACCGACCGUCUCUCCACACACCAUAUGAUGCAACCCGAAAUGAGGUUCCAAACAAUCUUGCCAUCCUUAUCGAAAAGCUUUCUCCUCCAUGCCUUUAACACAUCUUCUAUUCGCCUCGGCAUCAUCCAAUCUAUGUGUUGCAUGGCCAGAAUCUCGUUCCACAACAAACAAGCAACAUCACAAUGGAGGAGUAAGUGUUCAAUUGUCUUCCCAUUCCUCCUACACGUAUAGCACUACUCUAUAACAUACAGACUCCUUAUUCGGAGAUUGUCUAUUGUUAACACCUAUCUCCUGACAAUCGUCCAUAAUAAGAAUGCCACUUGUGGAGGCACUUUACAUUGCCAUACCAUCCUUCAAGGGAAUGAACUCUCCGCGAAUCUCAAUAAGGAUUUAAAAUAAGUGACAUCCGAAAAUAUGCCAUUUCGUGUCAGCCCCCCAUCUGCUACGAUCACCCUCUCCUACCCUAAUGUGUACCUCAUACAAAGAAGUCGAGCGGCGCAUAAUCAUCAACUUCCCAAUCCUGUAAACCUCUUCCAAAAAUAAUGUUCUAGCUAAGACCCCCAUUGUGUAUAUCUAAGAUCUUAUUCAACCUAGUAAACAGCUCCACAACAAUACAAUGCAAGGAAAUCCCACCCCUUAACAGUUGAUCUCCACACUAACAAUCAUUCCCAAAAUUGAUAAUAUUACCAUCCUCCACAAAAGUCGCUCUCUCCCAAAAGUCACUCCACCCUCGUUGUAUAUACCGCCAUAAGCUCACUCCAUAAGAACCACGACCUUUGAUUGAGCACCAUCCUCCCUCCAUAACACCGUAUUUCGCCCCUAGAAUUUCUCUCCAAAAACUAGCCCUUUCCACUUCGAAUCGCCACAACCACUUACCUAACAAGGCCAUAUUAAAUAAUAUAAUGCUUCUUAAUCCGAGAUCCCCCCAAGCUUUUGGGAGAGCAAACUUCUCCCCAUUGACCAAGUGAAAUUUCCUUUACUUCCCUAAUCCUCCCCAAAGAAAUUCCUUUUGAAUCCUUUCUAAUCUUUUUGCCACCGCAACAGGAAUCGGGAACAAUGACAAGAAAUAAGUAGGGAGAUUUGAUAGAGUGGACUUAAUGAGUAAGACGGCCUUCCUUGGAAAGGUACAUGCUCUUCCAACCCGCUAACCUCCUCUGCACACUUUCCACAAUAAGUUCCAUAUAUGUAUACUUUUAAACCGUGCUCCUAAAGGGAGCCUAAGAUAAGUUAUAGGCAGUUGAGCAACCUUACAACCCAAUACAUCAGCCAAUUCUCCUACUUUAUCGAAUUCUCCUAUUGAGAUAGGCUUGGAUUUCCCCAGAUUUAUUUUCAAUCCAGAAACAGCUUAAAAACACAGAAGCAAAUAGCGCAAGUUCCUGAAUUGCUCGAAGUUUGCAUCAUAGAAGAUCAGUGUAUCGUCGGCAAAUAACUAGUGAGAUACCCGUAGUUGAUGAAUCAUGAAGCCUUUUAACAAACUCUCCCCCAUAGCCUUUUCCAGCAUCAAACUGAAAGCCUCCAUUAUGAUAUCAAACAACAAUAGCGACAAAGGAUCUCCUUGUCUCAAACCUCUGCUACUCUAAAAAUUACCCUUGGGAGUGCCAUUCUCCAGAACUGAGAAAGAAACCCUAGAGAUACAAAACUAAAUCCACUUGUACCACUAUCCCCUUGCGCCUGAGCAUAUACAAUAGAAACCCAGUUCAUGUCGUUAUAGGCCGUUUGAAUAUCAAGCUUACAUAGCAUCUCUAGAACCCCUAGACGCAGUCUUGAGUCAAUGCAUUCAUUUAUCAAGUACUGAAUCCAAUAUCUGACGCCCUUUGACAAAAGCAUCUUGAAACUUAGACACCACUUAGUCUAAUAUCUAAAAUCUUCGAUAUAAUUUUGUACACCUUGCUUACUAAACUUAUAGGACAGAAGUCUUUGAUAUUCGUCACUCUUGGUUUCUUCGGUAUCGGCAUUGUAAAUGUAGCAUUAGAACUUCUCAAGAACCUGCCACACUCAAAAGGGAUAGGCAAGGACAUCUAUAAUAUCCGGUCGCACCACUUCUCAGCAAGUCUUAUAGAAUGAGAAAGAGAAUCCAUUUGGUCCUCAGACCUUAUCGUCAUUCAUGUUGAACACCAUCUCCCUAAUCUCAUCCUCCCUAAUCUCUCUAACCAAUUGGCAUCCUUCGCAAUAACAGUGGAAAGAUCUAGCUCCAACUGCGGCCUCCAAUCACAUUGUUCUCGAUAAAGAUUUUUUAUAGAAAUUCACCAUAUGGGUCCCAAUAUCCGGUGGAUCCUCAUAAGUAAAUUCAUCGACCCCUAACAUAGUGAUGGAAUUGUUAUGCCUGUUGAAAUUAGCAACCCUAUGGAAAAACUGGGUGCAUUUGUCCCUUUCUUUCAACCACUUGACCUUAGAUUUCUGGUAUGAAGCAAUCUCCUCUAUCUUCACCAACCUCUCCAACUCUCCCCUUAGCUUUCCCCGUCUCUCUUUCUCAUCCCCUACCAAUCUUCAACUCUCCUCUCUCCUAUCCAACUCUUCAUUAUCUGACAAACAUUGAUUUUUACAGCAGUUAACAUCUCCUACCACCUCCUCAUUCUAACUCUUUAGAUCUCUUUUCAACGCCUUCAAUUUCUGAUUCAACACAUAACUGGGAGACCCCCUAAAAUCAUAUGAUGCCGACCAUGUCCGAACUUGUUCCUAGAAGCAUUCCACUUUCAACCACAUUUUCUCAAACCUAAAAGGCCUUUGUCCCCUCCAUCUCACAUUCCUAGAUAACAAAAUAGGGAAAUGAACUGAAUACAACCCCCCAAGUCUCCUCAAAGUGACCUCUGGGUACCUAGCCUCCCACUCCACACUAACCAAAAAUCGAUUUAUUCUAAGAUAGAGCAAGUUCCCGAUUAGAUGACCAUGUGAACUCUCCUCCAAUCAAAGCCAAGUCCACCAACCUAUUCUCCCUGAUAAAAUCUGAGAAGUCCUUCAUAGCCCCUGUUAAUCUACCACCACUAGACCUUUCUGUAGGAAAUCGACUCACAUUAAAAUCUCCCCCAAUACACGUUAGGAGGUUCCACCAAGCCAGUGGAAAGAUCUAGCUCCAACUGCGGCCUCCAAUCACAUUGUUCUCGAUAAAGAUUUUUUAUAGAAAUUCACCAUAUGGGUCCUAAUAUCCGAUGGAUCCUCAUAAGUAAAUUCAUCGACCCCUAACAUAGUGAUGGAAUUGUUAUGCCUGUUGAAAUUAGCAACCCUAUGGAAAAACUGGGUAUCAUCAUGGCAGCUAACUUAUCACACAAUCCACCUCUACUUUCAUCAUCAUUCGACCCAUAAAUUCCUAUAAACAUCCAGUGGAAACUAUUCCCAAUAUUUCUAAACAAUAGCGAUAGAGAAAAUAGCUCUUUACUAACCUCUUCCAUGUCAAAGACUCUAAUAUCCCACAUGACUAGCACACCUCCUGAAGCCUCUGAAGACCCUACAAACUGAUACCCAACAUGUUGCCCCCCAUAAGCAACUCACGAUAGCCCUCGAAACGACUUUGUUUCCUAUAAGCAUACAAGGUCAGUCCUCCAUCCUUUAACAAAUUUUGAACACCUAACCUUUUCCCAGCUUCAUUUAGGCUCCUUACGUUCCAACUAAUUUAUUUGGAAUCAACUUGACACUUCAAUAUCCCCCCUCCCUCGAUCCUCUUCUUGGCUCUCCAUCCUUGACGUCAUAAUUAACUGAGCAUUCAAGCCACUUAAGCUCAUCAUUUCCCUUUCUUCUUGUCUUACCUUCUAGUGUACCCAUUACUCGUCCCCUACUAACCUCAAAUUCCUCAAAUAAUUGCAAGAGCCUAUUUUCAUACCCAUCAAGACACACCUACCAUCUUAUUGAAAUCCAAAUUUUUUUGAAGAACCCAAUUUGAUGGCAGUUUAACUUCAAGUGCCAUAACUUUCACUAUGUCUUCAGCAUAGAGAGGGUCAUAGUGGUGUCCCUCGUCUACCUCCAUCUGCACCACUCCACUGUCUAUAUUCUCCUUCUCGGGUCAUCAACUCACACCACCAAAGCUUUAUCAUUCCCUGAGUCAUCCUCGUUUAGAGACUUUGAAUAUCUCCUGCAGUAGGUGUUCCCUACCAUAGUUGGUGAACCUGUCAUUCCAUCCUGUUUCUCAAUUGUCGACGCUGAUUUGUCUGCUAAUACAACUUUGGUCUCUAACUCCGUUGCCGUCACUAAUCCUUCCACUGAAUUUUUAUCCAACGCACCCAAUAUUGACCAAUUAUCGUUAGUUACAUCUAAUAUCCCCGACUCCAAAUUCAACAUACUUGGCUCCCUUUCUUUGGCCAAAGGUGCAACCUCCACCACUAUAGUCUACGCUUGAGACUCGCCGCUUUGCUCAAUUUUCCAUUGGUUGUAUACUCAUCUAAGCCCUACCCACACGUAUGACAAACUCUUCCUAAGGCCGACUACAUACCCACUAUCCGGUAACCUUGUUAAUUCAUCCAAUUCUCCAUUCAAUGACUUGAUGUGAUUCCUUAUUCCAUCACUAUUGAAAAUACUAUCACAUAUACCUUUUGUAUUCAUUUUCUUAGACUUGUGCGCCAUUAGAUGACCUUCCUUGUAAGAUCCUGAGAUCUUCUCGCGUGAAUCACUCCCCUCGUUAAUCGCUCGUUCGUCACGCAUCAUUACUCCUUGAUCGGUGUACUGUGAAGCUUGUAAGUUUGCCGUAACUCCGGCAAAAUAUAUCCCUUUUCAUCUCUUUUUGUCAUAUGUUCUACAUUUUCCCUUAUCGCUGGCAACAAAGGAGUCGAUAACUGCUUGGAACACUCGCGAAAUCGAUGCCCAUCCCUCUCCAUUUGCACCUUUUGGCACCAUCACAACUUCCUUUCGGCUGCUUUUGGCACAUCGUUGUGUCAAAAAGCUCAAGGAGGCUUAUUAAACUUGGCGACAAUCUCCAACUUGCCUGUUACCCUCAGCUUUUCCACCUUAUUAACCAUCCAAACAACUUCAAAUCUCCCCAUGCAAAUUGUGUUCGAUAUCUUCGAUCCCUAGUCCGACAACUUAACAAUGCCUGAAUCAUUAACAGACACUACGAACUCCUUUGCCUCUACUCUAAAUCGAGAACUGCAAACUAUCAACCUUGUGGCAUAGGGCUGUUUCAUCUGAUAUUGUGAAAUCGACGAGGUUGAUGAAAAAAUAGCCGUGCUAGUUGGUCUGGACGCUGCGUGGUGGUUCUGCGCAUUUUCCAGCAUCAGCACAUGGGUAUCACGCGCCAGCGAACUCGCUGUCGAAAUGGCGCAUCCACUCGAUGACGGCCUGGUCAUGGUCGGAAUGAUCUACACAGCUGACCAGUAAGGUGCGUGGGUCCUGAUAUUGGUCGGAUUGGAAGUGAAUGGAGUGUGACCUUUUGGUUCGCCUCUCAUCGGAUCCGUGAAUUUUCUUUUGACUCAGUAGAUGGGGUCACCUGGAGCCUCUAUAUCCCCAUCACCGAUCGCGUCGACACCAAAUCUACGAGCAGCGUCGCUAGGAUUGACUGCCGCCUGUGGGUAGGAGGGGUUGUAUCUUUGUAGUGCGAGGCCGGUGGAUUUGGUGGGUCCAAUCACUGCUUUGAGGAUGCCCAAACCGGUGGAAGUGUCUGGUUGUUUGGUUUUGGAUGUUGGGGGAGAAGUCGCCAUCCUAGAGAGGAGACAGCGAGAUAGAAUUUACCAAUGUCUGUAGUUGCCAUCCUUGAUAUUCUCUACAAGUGAUAAAAUCAUAUAUGAUGCUUUCCUUGUAGAUCUUAAAGUUCUGCCAAAUAAAUUUUGCACAAGUACUUAAUUUUCGUCAUGGUAUAUACUUAAUUUUCCUCAUGGUAUAUAGAUCAAGUUUAAUGGUGCUAUGGUUGAUUAUAACAUAAUCAUAUGUACUCUGCAUGGAUCUAAAUGAUCACGAUCACAAUCACAAUCACAAUCACAAUCACAUUGUAGCAACUGAACUUUAAGAUAGAACAUUUCACAUUUAUGGUCUGAUGAAUUUCUGCUUCAUUCUGAAGUUAUCCUUGUUUUUUAGCAUGGGCAUAUGCUAAAGCUGCACUCUUUUUGGCCUGGGGAACCUAUAUGCUGCCUUCUUUUCUCAAUGCUGUAAAUUUCCUUUACUUCACAUUCCCUUUGCUCAUGUAGGGUUCGGUUUCACUAUGGUCAUCCGGAUGUUUUCGAUAGAAUAUUUCACCUUACAAGAGGUGGGGUUAGUAAAGCCUCGAAGGUUAUCAAUCUCAGCGAAGACAUAUUUGCUGGUAUGCUCAUUCUGUGGGUUAUUCUUUAGCUUUUAAAAUUUUGUUGUGUGACUUAGGUUGAAUGCUACUCUGUAACUUCAAAUGCAGGCUUUAAUUCUACACUUCGUGAAGGCAAUGUAACCCAUCAUGAAUAUAUACAAGUUGGGAAAGGGAGGGAUGUUGGUCUUAAUCAGAUUUCUCUAUUUGAGGCAAAAAUAGCCAAUGGCAAUGGAGAACAAACAUUGAGUCGUGAUUUAUAUCGACUGGGGCAUCGUUUUGAUUUCUUUCGAAUGUUGUCAUGCUAUUUCACUACCACUGGUUUCUACUUCAGUACCUUGGUAUGUGAUCCAGAUUGCACUCUUGUAGUUGAAUACUGAAUUGCGUAUGGUAUUUUCACCUAGUGUGUUUCUUGUGGCAGAUUACUGUGCUCACCGUGUAUGUAUUUCUUUACGGGCGUCUUUAUCUUGUCCUUAGUGGUCUUGAAGAAGGGUUAAGUAACCAACCGGCAAUUCGAGACAAUAAGCCUCUCCAAGUUGCUCUGGCUUCUCAGUCUUUUGUACAAAUUGGAGUUUUAAUGGCCCUUCCUAUGAUGAUGGAAAUAGGCUUGGAAAAGGGUUUUCGGACAGCAUUGAGUGAAUUCAUACUGAUGCAGUUACAAUUGGCACCGGUGUUUUUCACUUUCUCUCUUGGAACAAAGACCCAUUAUUAUGGUAGGACAUUACUUCAUGGAGGUGCAAAAUAUAGGCCGACAGGCCGUGGAUUUGUGGUGUUUCAUGCCAAAUUUGCUGAUAACUAUCGCCUCUACUCUCGUAGUCAUUUUGUCAAGGGCCUUGAAUUAAUGAUACUUCUUCUUGUUUAUCAAAUUUUUGGUCAAUCCUAUAGAGGUGCUGUUGCAUAUAUCUUAAUCACUGUAUCGAUGUGGUUUAUGGUCGGCACCUGGCUUUUUGCACCCUUUCUGUUCAACCCUUCUGGUUUUGAGUGGCAAAAGAUAGUUGACGAUUGGACUGAUUGGAACAAGUGGAUAGGCAACAGAGGAGGUAUUGGUGUCCCUUCAGAAAAAAGUUGGGAAUCAUGGUGGGAAGAGGAACAAGACCAUCUUCGUCAUUGUGGGGCACGUGGUAUUAUCACUGAGAUUAUAUUAUCGCUUCGGUUUUUCAUUUAUCAGUAUGGGCUUGUUUAUCACCUAAACAUCACCAAGAAAACCAAAAGCUUUCUGGUAGGCUGUGGCUUGUAGUUCCUUCAUGUUCUUGAAUUUAUACUCUUUUGAGUAUAAUUGUUAGAUUCAUCUGUAACCUUUUGUUAAAUAUCUGCUUGGUUUACAGGUAUACGGAAUAUCGUGGCUGGUGAUCUUGCUAAUUCUUUUUGUCAUGAAGGUGAUGAUGAUUCUUUACUACUCAUUAAUCAUUAUUGGAGAAUCAUAAAUACAAAUGUGUAGUUUGAACAAUAGCACUUCAUUUACUCUAAUAUAAGUAGAUUAAUAAGGUAAUUAUUUGUGUUGGAAAUUGCCAACUUUUCAGCGAUCGAUCUUAUGCCCCUGUUUGGUGGGGGAUUAAAAUCAGAUUUUUAGUAAAUUUUGAUAAAAGUUGAUGAAAUGUGUGGUUGAAAAGUUGAGAGCCCUAAUGUGUGGUUAAAAUUAAUUGUUGAUUUUUGGCUUAGAUUAAAAUCUGGACUUUAAUUUCUAUGGAACAGGGGCUAUGCAUCACUCUAAAUUGUUAAUAAAUUUUUGAGGAAAAUUUCAAAUGACUUCCUUUCCUAUUUUCUCAGAAUGUCUGUAUCUGCAGGUUAUUUGAGAAAUUUUUUUGAGCAUUUCUCCUUGGCCUACUUUUUAUAUUUGAAGAAUUUGGGGAUUGUAUGAAAAAUGUUCUAGACUGUAAAUAAAUUCCAGGGGAUUCAGUUUGGUAGAGCAAUAUUGGUAGCUCCAGAUAAAACUCAGUUUUUUCCUCCUAAUAUUUGGCUACCUUCAGCUUUUCUUGGCUUUUUAUCUAACACGUAGUGCGCAGAUUAUGAUUUUAUAAUUUUUAAUUUCUACCCCAGACAAUUUCGGUUGGACGAAGAAAAUUCAGUGCAAAUUUUCAACUUGUGUUCCGGCUUAUCAAGGGUUUGAUCUUUGUCACCUUUGUCUCUAUCCUGGCUAUUUUGAUUGCACUCCCUCACAUGACACCGCUGGACAUUGUUGUUUGCAUACUUGCCUUCAUGCCAACUGGUUGGGGUUUACUUCUGGUGAGUGAUGUUUUUAUCCUGCUCUUGCACUUUUUCAUGGUAUAUAUUUGAUAGUUACUUGAACAAAUUCUUCCCAAUUCAACAUUAUAUUCUUAACAACCUGUGACAAUUUACACCACUAGUUGCAAGAUGUCUUCAUUGCUCCAUAAAAAAUCGAUUUCUUAGUGCUUACUGAAUUAUGAGAUAACUGAACUUAUUCCCGACUGUUAAAUUGCAUUCAUUCAGAAACAUAUGGGAGGAAAAUUGCAUUUUAGUGCGUGUGUUUAUUCAUUGAGUGUUUAUGCUAAUAGUUUCUUUCAUGUAAGCUGAGGCAACUCUCUCUUAUGUCUUUUCCUUCCAUUGUCAAUGGGAUUAAUUGUUUCUUCCGUGUAAUCUUUUGUAAAACUGGAAGGCUAGGAUUCUUUAUUGUCUGCUUCUGAUUUCUUCCAGAUUGCCCAAGCAUGUAAGCCUAUUGUUCAAAGAGCUGGAUUCUGGGGAUCUGUACGAACACUAGCUCGUGGAUAUGAAAUUUUGAUGGGUUUGCUUCUAUUCACGCCAGUUGCUUUUCUUGCAUGGUUUCCAUUCGUUUCAGAAUUCCAAACUCGAAUGUUGUUCAACCAAGCCUUCAGUAGAGGUCUUCAGAUUUCUCGUAUUCUUGGUGGACACAGGAAAGACAGAUCCUCCCGAAACAAGGAGUAGGGCGUUGGAGGCUGAAACGCCUAUUCUAUUACAAAUUCUUCAUUGCAAAACACAAGUUAUGGAGAUCAUAUUUAUUGAUCUUGUAAGAUGCUUUUGUAUGUAUAUGCGGCAGCAUUUUAAGCCGUGAUGUAGAUUUAAUUUCAUCCAACUCCAAAAGAUCUAUUAAAAUUGCCUUCCGUCCAAUUGUCUUCUUAUGUGCUAUCUCUGUUCAUAUUGGCAGCUAUGUUGUGGGCUUUGUUAGCCUAAAACUCGAUAGUUGUGAUGAGCUUACGUUGUUUAAGAGCUUCAGAUGUUAGAAGAGAUGUGUUUAUUUAUUUAAAUUUAAUGUUCACCACGUCAUAGAUGUUAGAAGAGAUGUGUUUAUUUAUUUAAAUUUAAUGGCUGAGGAAGGCAAGCAAGUAUUUCCAGAUCCAUCAAGUAGAGGAUGAAAUGAAGUUGGGCAUAGCUGAGAUAUAUCUCAAAGGAAAGGCAGACAUAUGGUUCUAUGGCUUUAUGUCCAGCCAUCCUAAUGCUGAUUGGGGCAUGUUUUCCAGGGAGAUUUGCAAAAAAACAGGGCUGAAGAAGUAAUAGAAACCUUUAGCAAACUGAGGCAAGGAGGAACCAUUACAGAAUAUCAGGAACAAUUUGUAGAAUUGAAAUCCCAAGUGAUGAUUUCCCUACCUCACUUACCAGAAUCCUACUAUAUUUCUAUAUUCAUCAAUGGUUUGAAGGAUGAGAUCAAAUCCAUGGUUAAAAUUAUGCAACCCCAACCUUAGCCAAAGCUUUCGAGAUUGCUUUACUUCAAGAAAAUACCAUCAUAGCCCUUAAUAGAGGUCCAAAAACCUUUAAAGCAUAUCCCCAAACAAAAUGGUCUCACCCCAAUCCUAAACCAAAUGAACCUCGAACUAAACCUACACCUUACACCGAACCAAACCCAAAGAACUCCACCAAUCCACUGAAAUUUAAAGCUAUCACCCCCUCUGACUUCCCAAAAAAAGGGAGUUAGGAUUAUGUUAUAAAUGUGAUGAGAAGUAUACUAGGGGUCAUGUGUGCAAAAAUAAGAUGCUCAAUUUCAUAUUGGUGGAUGAAGAGGUAGAAGGGGAGUUAGAUGAACCUCCAAGGGAGAAAAUGGAUCAGAUGGAGAAAGGGGAAAAAGAGGAGAUAAUGGAAAUCUCCAUCUAUGCAUUGAAGGGCAGCAACAGAGCAAAAACCAUGAGGCUACCAGGGAUGAUCAAAAAGAGAAAAGUGUCUAUAUUAAUUGAUAGUGGGAGUACCCACAGUUUCAUUAAUGAAAUCUUGGCAAAAAAUAUCAACUACUGGAUGCAGCCAGCAACACCUACUUCAGUUACCGUGGCAGGAGAUGAAAAACUCAUCAGUAAGGCAGUUUGUAAUCUACUGAUAUGGAAGAUGCAAGAUUUGGAGUUUCAAUGCCAGCUGAGAGAAUUGAAAUUAGGAGGCGGUGAUAUGGUUUUGGGGGUCCAUUGGCUGAGUCAGUUCAACCCUGUGUUAUUUGAUUUUCUGAGGGGCAGCAUUACCUUUACUUGAAAAGGUAUAGAGAUGGAACUCCAGAGUGAAGUCAUUAAGGAAUAAUUCCACAUGAUGAUUGAUACUAGGAAGGGAUGUUGGUUCAAGAACCAAGCGUAUGAAGUGGUAGCACAAAUCACAGCCAUCACUGAGAAAGAGACAGAGGUCAUCCCUGCUAAACUUAAAGCUAUUGUAGAUCAUUUUCCUAUGGUUUUCUUAGAAGCUAAAGGGUUACCACCUUCUAGGUUCAAUGACCAUCAUAUUCCAUUGAAAGAAGAGGCUCAGCCCUUUAAAAUCAGGCCUUACAGGUGCCCAUACAUUCAGAGAGCAAAGAUUGAUUUCCUAUGGUUUUCUUAGAAGCUAAAGGGUUACCACCUUCUAGGUUCAAUGACCAUCAUAUUCCAUUGAAAGAAGGGGCUCGGCCCUUUAAAAUCAGGCCUUACAGGUGCCCAUACAUUCAGAGAGCAAAGAUUGAUUUCCUAUGGUUUUCUUAGAAGCUAAAGGGUUACCACCUUCUAGGUUCAAUGACCAUCAUAUUCCAUUGAAAGAAGGGGCUCGGCCCUUUAAAAUCAGGCCUUACAGGUGCCCAUACAUUUAGAGAGCAAAGAUUGAAAGUAUGGCUAGGGAGAUGAGAGAAAGUGGGAUAAUACAACCAAGCAACAGCCCUUAUGCCUCACCUGUGUCAUUGGUCAAGAAGAAAGAUGGGACAUGGAGAUUUUGUGUUGAUUAUAGGGAGUUGAACAUCCUCACAGUUGAACAUCCUCACAGUCAAGAAAAAGUACCCUAUGCCCUUAAUUGAUGAAUUGCUGGAUGAACUUAAAAGGGCAAAGUGGUUUACAAAAAUCAACCUAAGAGCAGGAUACAAUCAAAUCAGGGUGGCUGAAGAAGAUGUCCACAAGACAGCUUUUAAAACCCGUGAGGGUCUUUAUGAAUUCAGGGUCAUGCCAUUUGGGUUUACAAAUGCCCUUGCCUCUUUUCAAUGUCAAAUGAACGUAGCAUUCAAGUAGCAUCUUAGGCAAGUCAUCUUGGUAUCUUUUGAUAAUAUACUGGUAUACAGCCCAAACUUGAAGACUCAUUGUAAGCAUGUUGUUGUCUUGGAACUUUUAAAGCAACACCAAUCGUAUAAUAAGAUGAAUGAGUGCUCUUUUGGCCAAUCUUGCAUAGAGUACUUACGCCACAUUGUAUCUGCAGAGAGAGUGUCAGCAGAUCUCUUAAGAUAGUGGCAAUGCAGAAAUGGCCUAAGCUAGCCAAUGUUAAAUAGUUAAGAGGAUUCCUUGGCUUAACUGGGUAUUACAGAAGGCUCGUAAGGAAAUAUGGAGCCAUAGCCAAUCCACUAACUGAAUUACUAAAGAAGGAGAAUUUCCAUUGGGAGGAGGCUGCCGAAUCAGCUUUUCAAGAAUUAAGGGAUGCUAUAAGUACUACCCCAAUACUGGCUUUACCAUAUUUCUCUAUCCCGUUCAUUGUGGAAACGGAUGCAUGCUAUGUGGGGGUUAGGUGCAGUGUUGAUGUAGAAAAAAAAGGCCAAUAGCCUACCUAAACAAAGGAAUUGGCAACAGGAAUUUGGUGUUAUCAAUUUAUAAGAAGGAACUGCUAGCUCUGGUGACUGAGGUAGGAAAGUGGAGGCACUAUUUAGAAGGUCACCACUUUAUCAUUAAGAUAGAUCAUCAGUCACUCAAGUACUUGAGCAAAGGAUCACUACUCCAAUACCGCAGAAGUGGCUAUCAUUUACUCUUGGGACUGAGUUAUGAAAUACAUUAUAAGAAGGGUGUUGAUAACAAGGUGGCAGAUGCCUUGUCCAGGAGAGAAGAAAAGGGGUCUGAAUGCUUGGCAAUCACUAAGGUCACUCCAAUGUAGGUUGAAGAAGUAAUAGCUAGCUAUAAACGAGAUAAAGACACGGAAGGUAAAAUCACUGAUGUGCUACUCUCUAAGACAUGGAGCCAGAAUACCAGUACCUAAAUGGACUUCUCAAAUACAAGUCAAGGAUGUAUAUUGGUACUGGGGGAGGAAUAAGGAAGAAGCUAAUUGCAGCCAUACACUCAUUGCAGGAAGGGGGCAUUCAGGAAUACAGGCAAGUAUACACAGGGCUAAGCAAUUCUUCUUUUGGCCUAGAAUGAACAGGGACAUUAAACAAGAGGUGUUGGAGUGUGACACGUGCCAAAGGUUAAAGGGGAACAUGUAGCUUACCCAGGAUUACUUCAACCCCUACCAAUACCACAAUAUGCUUGGAGCCACAUUUCCAUGGACUUCAUUGAAAGGCUACCUACUUCUGGAUCAAAGAAUGUGAUAUUCGUGGUGGUGGACAAGUUCACCAAAUAUGCUCAUUUCUUAACUCUCUCACAUACAUUCACAGCCCCAACCAUCGCCAAGUUAUUCCUGGAUAACAUCUACAAGUUGCAUGGAAUGCCUCACAGCAUUGUUACGAACAGAAUUAAGAUAUUUAUAAGUGAGUUUUGGCAGGCAUUGUUUGGACACUUGGGGGGUCAUAUUGUAGUUAAGCACAGCCUAACACCCAUAAACUGAUGGGCAGGUAGAAAUACUGAACCAAUGCCUUGAAAUGUACCUAAGAUGCAUGGUUUACAAGCAACCAAAACAAUGGAUUAAGUGGAUUAGCCUAGCUGAAUGCUGGUACAACACUACCCUGCAUACCUCUAUUCGAAUGGCACCUUUUGAAGUCUUAUAUGGUAUCAAACCCCCAAACUAGCCUUGGGGCCCUAUCAGCAAACUAACAUUGCUUCAGUUGAAGAUAUUUUGCAAGAAAGGCAGAAGAUAGAUAAAAUGCUAAAAGAGAACCUUGCCCAAGCCAAUGCCAGGAUGAAGCAUUAUGCAUAUCAACAUAGAAGUGAAAAGGAAUUCCAAGUUGGGAAUUGGGUAUAUUUAAAGCUUCAUCCAUAUGCUCAGCAAACUGUAACAAGGAGAUCCAACGAGAAGCUAUCCGUAAAGUAUUAUGGCCCUUACAAGGUAGUGCAGAAGGUUGGGAAGGUGGCCUAUAAACUGAAGUUACCUGCUGCAUCUCAAAUCCAUCCUAUUUUUCAUGUCCCUCUACUGAAAAAGAAAAUUGGGGAGAAGGAAGUUCCAACUGGUGCAAUGUCGGAAUUUUAAAGGGGCAAGCGAACACACAUUCAACCACACGCUACGUGGGAGAGAGCAGAUGAAAUAAAGGCUACUUUCCCAAAUUUUCAACCUUGGGGACAAGGUUAUUCGAAGGGGGAGGGAUGUUAUGGUGAUGGCACGAAGAGAGAGGAACAACCGAGCUGGGGAGGAAAAGGGAAGAGAAGUACCAGACCAAUGAAGAAGGAAGAAGACGAGGUUACAAUGGCCAACUGAUUUUGGAAAAUGAGAUACUUUGUCGUUUUGAUUUUUGAGUCUAAAACUGUAAAUGGACAAACAUGUUUUGUUUCCUUUGUUGCACGAUUUUGAGAUCUGUUAUAUCUAAGAUAUCCAACGAGGGAAAGAGAGAUUGUUAUGCGUAAUUUCUCUCACGGAUUAUCUAUUCCUCUAUUUUUUCUUCUUCUCCAGUGUAUUGUCCUCAUUUCAUAGUGUAAACAUCAGUGGCUUCAAUUAAUCCAUUGGGCGUUGAGUUUAUUUUACUUCUGGUUUAUUAUUGUGUUUGAUUGUGUCCCAGGUUAAGAUUUGAAGCUCAACCAUAACAAAAGAAUUAACAGUAACGAUAUUCAAAAUUCAGAAUGUCAGUCUUUCAUUUUUUCAUGCCCCAUAAAUUAGAAAACAUAAUUAAACAAUUCCUCUUUUUUCUUUCUUUCUCUUAUUUAUUUAUUUUGGAAAAAUUGAGGUCAAAAUCAAUAAUAUUAUCUGAAAAUUCAUGAAAAAUGAAACAAAAAGUUUAGUGAAACUUACCAGGAGCUUGAAUUUCAUCAGCUGCUAUUGAAGGAUCAUCCAUUUUUCCACCACCUAUCUUAUUGAUAUAUAAAUCCACAGAUUCGUAAAAACUCCAAAUGUCCAAGCAAAACAAUAACACUACAAUACUAAAAGUAGAAACAAGAAAAUUUCGUAACUUGAUGCGUAUCCAGAAAGUUAAAUUUGAAAUUGAUGAAAAACUACAAAUUAUCUCAAGAUUUUUCGCCGCGCUGUGUAUGUAAAAAUAAACAUAAUCGCUGAGCGAUUUUUUCU
rnacentral:lncRNA from 1 species